rnacentral:misc_RNA from 1 species
CUCGUUUUAAAGCUCAUUUGAAGCUAAUUCGUUGGACUAACGCUUUUAUGACAUUGGGCAUUAUAACUCUCUCUUUAUAAUACAUAUUUUUUUUAAUAGAAAAAGUAAAUAAUAAACGACAUACAGCCAUCUACACAGAGAGAAAUCUUUAACUAUCUUUAAAAUAUAAACCAAACAAUUACGUAAAAUACACAACGAAUUUCAAAAAAAAAAAAAAAAAAGAAUUAAUGAAUUUCAUUCUGUGUGUUUGGAAAUGUAAGAAGAGUUCUUAUCAUAUCCGGUGUAACGGUUGUCUACCCCUGAUUCACUAGCUGGCGCUAGAUUUGUAGUCGUCCCCAUAAUGGCGGGUACGAAUCCAACUUCACAACCUCAGGCUAAUCCAUUAAUGCGAGCACCGUUUGGGAUUGGGCCUGUUCCUCCAGGCCCAGCACCACCUGGUUUUAUACCCACAAUGGUUGCAGGUGGUCCAGGACCAAGUCCAGAUAUGAUCAAACCUCCUCCAGUUAUGCCACCUGGAAUACCACCAGCUUAUACACCUGUACCACCUUUUGUUCCUCCCCGUUCUAGUUCUGGAGCUGUACCAACACGACCUGGGGUACCACCACGCCCUGGAAUACCACCUCCUGGAUUACCUAUCCCACCUCCAGGCUUUCCACCCACAACAGGUAUGUCAGGCACUCCUGUCUCUCUUCCUGGUGCUUUACCUGGAUCUGUUGGUCAGACACAAACCACCCAGCAACCAUCUUCCAUUGCAGCUUCCUCAACCACUUCUAUAGAGUGUAAACCUGCUGAAAAGAAAACUGUUUGGACUGAACACAAAGCUCCUGAUGGUAGAACAUACUAUUAUAACAGUGUAACAAAACAGUCCAGCUGGGAAAAACCAGAUGAAUUGAAAACUCCUGCUGAACUAUUGUUAAGUCAAUGUCCAUGGAAAGAAUACAAAUCUGACACAGGAAAGGUUUACUAUCACAAUUCUGCCUCCAAAGAAUCUCGCUGGACCAAACCAAAGGAAUUAGAGGAACUUGAAGCUAUGAUAGUCAAGCAAGAAUUAGAUAAGAAACCAGUUGGAGAACUUGGUGUCAGCUUGAGUCCUAAUGUCACCAGUGGUGUUCCAGUUGUAUCAUCAACAUCUCAGUCGUCGGCUUCAGUUGUUCAGGCUCCUGUUUUGGUAGGAUCUACAAGUAGUGCUACUUCUCAAGUUCAUAAUACAGGCCCUCCGUCUGCAAUUCAGCAAGCUAUUCAAGCAACAUUGGCUUCUAUUGAACUUCCUCCACAACCAUCUGUUGUCCUUCAGCAACAAGUCCAACAACAUCAACAGUCUGCGACACAGCAAGCACAGUCAGCUGUAAGUAGUUCAUCAACUGUUACAUCUGCAGGAUCUGUGACUCCUGUUCCACAGAAACAAACUCCAACUCAAGUUGUUAUCGAUGGCAAUAAGACAGACUCAUCAUCAAACAGCAGCAGCGAAGGUGAAGAUGAUGAGAAAAAUGAAAGAAAAGAAUAUAUUUUCCGGAACAAAAAAGAAGCUAUUGAAGCAUUUAAAACUCUCCUACGAGAAAGGGAUGUGCCGUCUUCUGCUACAUGGGAGCAAGCUAUGAAAAUGAUCAUUAAUGAUGCAAGAUAUGGGGCAUUAAAACACUUGAAUGAGAAGAAACAAGCUUUUAAUGAAUACAAAACUCAAAAAGCUAAAGAAGAGAAGGAAGAACAGCGACUUCGAACGAAACAAGCUAAAGAAGACCUGGAAAAUUUUCUAUUAAAUAGUGACAAAAUGAAUUCUACUGUAAAAUAUUGGAAAGCAGAUAAUAUUUUUGGUGAUUUAGAUGUCUGGAAAAAUGUCUGUGAUCGUGAUCGACGGGAACUCUUCGAAGAUGUCUUACACAUGUUGGCAAAGAGAGAAAAGGAGGAAGCCAAAGCCUUACGAAAGCGUAAUAUUAAAGUGUUUUCUGAAAUCCUUGAUAGUAUGCCAAGUCUGACAUACUGUACAACAUGGUCAGAUGCUCAACAGAUGUUACUUGACAAUCCCAGAUUUACAGAAGAUCCAGAUUUACAAAACAUGGACAAAGAGGAUGCAUUAAUUUGCUUUGAGGACCAUAUACGUAUGUUAGAACAGGAAUAUGAUGAUGAAAAGGAACGAGAAAGGCGGAGGGUCAGGCGCCAGCAAAGAAAAAAUAGGGAGAGCUUCCAGGUUCUGUUGGACGAACUGCAUGAUCAAGGAAAAUUGAAUUCAAUGUCACUGUGGAUGGAUUUGUAUCCUAUUGUCAGUCAAGACCUUCGCUUUUCAAACAUCCUUGGACAGCCAGGUUCAACACCACUUGAUUUAUUUAAAUUUUAUGUUGAGGAUCUCAAAUCUAGGUUUCAUGAUGAGAAAAAGAUUGUAAAGGAAAUUCUAAAGGACCGAGGGAUUAUUGUGGAAACGAGUACAACAUAUGAGGAUUUUUCUUCGUGUUUAAACACAGACAAACGUUCUGGCAAUCUGGACUCUGGGAAUAUCAAGUUAACUUACAAUAGUCUCAUAGAGAAAGCUGAAGCACGAGAAAAAGAACGGUUAAAAGAAGAAGCAAGAAAAAUCCGGAGGCUUGAAGGUGCUUUCAAGGCCAUGUUAAAACAAGCUAGUCCGUCAAUAGAUUCUAUGACACGUUGGGAAGAUAUACGGGUACGGUUAGAAAAAGAAAUUCCAUUUGAAGCAAUAACUCUUGAAUCUGAACGAAUUCGAUUAUACAAGGAGUACCAAGUAGCAGUAUUAGAGCAGUGUUCACAUCACCAUUCUAAGAAGAAGAAAUCCAAAAAGCACAAACUAAAGCGGUCUCGGUCAAGAUCUCGAUCGUCUGAAUCAGAUGAUGACAUUUCAUCCCGUCAUAAAUUGAAGAAAAAAAAGAAAUCUAGAUCAGCCUCUCGCUCACCAAGUUAUAUGUCUGAAUCAGUUCUUCGCCAUGGGUUGUUUUACUGCAAGCGAAAGUUCCACGACACGAAAGAAAGAGAAUCAAAGAAAUUAUGACCAAGAAAUGGAAAGGGCAUCGAAACGACACAAAAAGAAAUCCAAAAAGAAAAAACAUCUUUCCAGAGCUGACUGGAAUUCAUCAGACAGUGACGUCAGUGAAGGGGAGUUAGAGAAGCGACGACGGCACCUGCUGCAG